rnacentral:rRNA from 1 species
AACGAACGCUGGCGGCAUGCCCAACACAUGCAAGUCGAACGAGACCUUCGGGUCUAGUGGCGCACGGGUGCGUAACGCGUGGGAACCUGCCCUUAGGUUCGGAAUAACUCCCCGAAAGGGGUGCUAAUACCGGAUAAUGUCUUCGGACCAAAGAUUUAUCGCCUUUGGAUGGGCCCGCGUUGGAUUAGCUAGUUGGUAGGGUAAAAGCCUACCAAGGCGACGAUCCAUAGCUGGUCGGAGAGGAUGACCAGUAACACUGGGACUGAGGCACAGCCCAGACUCCGACGGAAGGCAGCAGUGUGGAAUAUUGUACACGGGGCGAAAGCCUGGUCCAGCAAUGCCGCGGGAGAGAUGAAUGCCUUAGGGUUGUAAAUCUCCUUUUCCCGAAGUGAGAAUGACAGUACCGGGUGAAGAAGCUCCGGCUAACUCCGUG